GCUAUGUUAUUUUAUCAUUUAAAUCAAACAUCAUUAAUGUUUUCGCUACAAGGUUCAUGUGAAUACAGCAUUGGCCCUCUGUGAAAGCUACACCAUGCAUGUUUGAUCCUUCUGCUUUACAGAGCUGCCUUAUCAUUGUAAUGCUUUGAAUUCCAUUUUAUUAUAGUCAACAUACUUGGCUUUCAUAACACAAUCCUGCACUCCUCUCUCAGUGUCUCCUCAGCAAAGAUCCACUCCUGUCAGCUGCAUCAGCAUGCACAGUGUUUACCUCCUCCUGGGACCUACAACAGCGCUUCCCUUCCUCUGUAACCUUCCCCUCUUCCUUUUUCCCAUCAUUCAUCCUUCUCUCAGUUCCACACUGCCCAUGUAAGGCAGAAAGCCCCAAGACAGAUACAGAUCUCUCAGAAGGGGACAGCAAUGGACCUCACAUCUGCAGGAUGCUUGGCCUUGUAAGGACAAGCAGGCUGCUGCACCUCUCUUCUCCCCAGAAGACCAGCAUAUGAGGCCUGCAGUCUCAGGACUGGUUAAAAUAUAAGAACUUUUAUUAUUAUUAUUAUUAUUAUUAUUAUUAUUAUUAACGUGUUACCAUGUUUUACUGUAAGGAGGUAGCCUAUAUCUUUAAAAAAGCUAAAAUCUGUUUUGAAAAUCUCAUUAAAGGCUGUUGUCUCAUUAUAAAAUACAGUAGGCCUUUUACUUUUUCUUUUUUUUUUCCAAGAACAGACCAGCCAAAGCAGUUUCUUUUUGGGCUGCUUGCUCUCAGACAUAUCCACCGACCUGACCAGAGUACAGCCGGUCCAGGCUCUCGUCGAUCCACUUCUCCACGUCCAGUCGCUUCUGCAGCUCCUUCCUGUUGUACUUGACGGUAACCCGGGCAUGUCUCUUCGGUAUCGUACACCCGAGAUCCUGAGACAACCCCAAAUCUGAUGAAUGAACUUCGUCAUUUUCCUCCAACGUCGUCCUGGUCCGGUCGGCAGCCAUUUCUGGUCUGGAGUGGUGUGACUGGUUUCUCCACUUUUUCAAGCACAGGAGGAGAGAGCAGCGGUGGGAGGCGACGGCGGCGGAGACUGCUGAGCAGAACCCGGCCCCAGAGCCCAGUCCGGCCUCAUCCCUCCACAUAAAGUCCUGAUGCCCGCCUCUGGCCAGGCUGCUCUCCACAGGAUGGUGCCUGUACCCAGAUCUUUCGUCAGGGCAGAGGGAGAGGCUGAGGCGAGCUGUGCUGUUGCUGAUCUUGAAUAGGCCAUUAGGACCGAGGAAGGCUUCUCUUUCGCUUCCUCCCAGGUUGUUGACCGUCUCCAAGUCAUUGUAGACUGCAAUGUCGCUCAGCUGCUUCCUUCCCUGCAGUCUCCUCCUCCUCCUCAAGAAGAUAAUACCCGCCACCAGAACCAGCACCAGGAUGGCCAGAACGCAGGAGACAGUGAGGGUGGCAGAGGAGGGCUGGGAGGUUUGGCGCAAAGCGGGCUUAAAACUGGGCUGGAGCGUGAACUCACAGCUCGGACCCAUAAAGCCCUUAGGGCACUGGCAUACCGGCCCGGUGAAAUGGGUGAAGCAAGUGCCACCAUUCUGGCAAGGACGGGUGCCACAGGCAUCUGAACGCACGCUGCAAUUCUUGCCGGUGUAUCCCAGGGUGCAAGAGCAGGUGUAGUCAUUCACACCAUCUUGGCAGGUUCCAGCAUUCUGGCAGGGGCUCGAGGCGCAGUCGUCAAUGUUGACCUGGCAGUUGGCACCGGUAAAGCCUGCCUGACAGCGGCACAACACGCUCUGGCCAAGGUCCAGACACUCACCACCUGCAGAAGGGAGAAAUACUUUGUUCAUUUAAAGGAGUCUUAAUGGGAUUACAUUUAACACUCUUGCUGUAGCAAAUUGCUGCAUUGAUGCAGGAGUGUUGACAGUAAUACCUCCUCACUAAAACAAUUUCCUAUUCAGGUGCUGAUUUGCUAUUCUGCCACAAGAUGUCGCCAGAGGCGAGGCCUCCUCUGCCCACUCACCGUUUAGACAGGGCCUGUUGCUGCAGCGGUCCAGUUUCUUCUCGCAGUUGGAGCCGGUGUAGCUGGGAGGGCAGCGGCAGGUGUAGCCUCCGGUCAUCGUCUCCACACAGGUGCCACCGUUGAAGCAGGGACCAUCUGCACACGUCAUGGCAAUGAUUUCGCAGUUCUUACCGUAGAAUCCCUGUGGGCAGGUGCACGAGUAGUCGUUCUCCAGGUCCUUGGGACAGAGGGAGAAAAACCUUCAGGUUAAGGAGGGACUAGGGACAGGCUUGUUUUAUGUGUAAAGUCUGGCAAGGAUUGUAGCAUUAGUAAGAAAGGCUUCCAUUGAUGGAGCUGUUCGUUUUGAAGGGUAGGAUAAAGGAUGAGACCUGAUAUAAGCUGUUUUCCAAUAUGCAUUCAAAUGAGAUCAGUGGACAUGAUGGUGAAACUUUAGCAGUCUGGCAGAAGCCUACAACAACUGCUGUGUUUCCAAUAGCUGCUAUAUGUGGACACAAAACACUUUACUCACCACCCUCAAACAAAUUACUCAUCUACUCGCCUUAUUUGACUUUAUUUGUGACUAUUUUUAUCUCAGUAUAAAGUUACUUUUUAUGUUGUUGUGUAGUAUAAGUUACCUUUUAUUAUUUUAUCAUGAUUAGUUUAUAUAUAGUAAAUGUUCAUAAAGUAUAUAGUAUUCUACUUUUUUUACUAUGACUGUUCUUGUUCUUCUGAUGUUAUGACCUUUGAAUUCCCUGUGUGGGAUCAAUAACUUUUAUCUGUCUUGUUUCUUUAACGCAACUAUUUUACUAUGAGCGUGCACAUUUAAACAAAACAGACUUAGUCACACUGUAUACUCACAUUACAGCUGCCUCCAUUCUUGCAGGGGUUGCUGUCACACUCAUUGGUUUCUAGCUCACAGUUGGUGCCUCCGAAGCCGGGCCGGCAGGUGCAGGUGUAGCUGCCCUGGCCAGUGUUUGUGCAGGUUGCUCCGUUGGCGCAGGGCUUGUGGUUAGUGCAGUAGUUGAGGUCCUGGUCGCAGAAGAGGCCCCCCCAGCCCUCCUGACAGUUACACUGCCACGGCUGGCUGCACGUCCCAUGGAGGCAGCCUGGGUAGCGGACGCAUUCAUUGCAGGAGGGGCCCUGCCAGCCCAUGCGACAUGUACAGCCCCCUGGGGCCUCGCAGUAGCCGUGCUUCUCACUGCAGUCUGCCGAGCAGAUGGCUGGAGAGGAGAGGGGAAGGGAGGGUGUGUUAUUACAAUGGGCACGCCUUCUCAUACAUCUCUCACACACACACACGUACAUGGCCCCCUGUCUGACCCCAGCCCUGAUCUAGACUUCACUGUUGGUUAAGUAUUAAGCCAAGCAGCUGGCAGGCACACUGACAGAGAAAAAUGCUUUCUUUUAUGUCCUUUCUCUCUCUCUCUCUCUCUCUCUCUCUCUCUCUCUCUCUCUCUUUCUCGCUCUCUCUCUCUCUCGCUUUCUCUCUCAAAGGCAAACACACCCAGAUCACCUUGAAAAAUGUGUGUGUGUGUGUGUGUGUGUGUGACGGGGGCUACAGCUCUUUCUCUCAUUCUAACGAGAACAAAAGGCAGAUGGAACACUACAGCAAAGGAGUAAAACACAACACUAUGGGACAUCACUCAGAUAAAGCAAAUACUCUAUAUGCUCUGAAAAUAUUCCAGUUCAAAGUGUCUGUCAACCACGAGCUGAGUAAGAUAAAAACACUUUUUGUCCAUGCCUCGAUACAUCUUGAGUGUACUUUUUUACUUCAUGGGAGGAGAAAAAGUUUGAGUUGCCUUAUAUUGUAAAUAUUCACUCCCUCAGUGUUACUGCUUUAUGAUUCCACUUCAAGUGCAAAAGCCUUCGGUCUUCUGCUAAACAUUCUCUCACUUUCUUCACUUACUCAGAUUAAUAUAGUGUUUUGUAAAGUGUUGUCUUUACACCUUUGUAACAAAAAAACAACAAUUUUCAGAUGAAUGAUUUAUUUUGUGUGUUUCGUUUGCUCUACUAUUUCUAUCCUGGUGUUUUAUUCUGUUUCACACUCAGUACUUUUAUUUGACUGAUUAUAUCUAAUCGUGCUGAAUUGUCUUAAUUUUGUUUAUGUAAAACAGUUUGUAACUUCAUUUUGAAGGCUGCUGUGUAAAUAAAAUAAAUUGCAUUAGGCUGUUGUUAUAAUUAGAAA